AUGGAUAUUUCCACCAUUUCUCAGAGGCGCCUGAGGCUUGCCCUCUCACUUUCCUCCUGGAACAACCUGAGCUUCAGCACCUGCUCCAGCUUCUCCACAAACUACCAGAACCUGGGCUCUGUGUAGUCGCCCAGCCACCGGGUUCUCCCAGCCAGAGUUUAUGCAGACACAGGGGGCUCAGCCUUCUGGAUUUCUGUGUCCCACUCCACCAGUGUCUGGGGUGGCUUGGAGUCUGGGGGUCUGGCAGGCCUAGGGGGCAUCCAGACCAAGAAGGAGACUAUGAUGCAAUGCCUGAAUGAUCACCUGGCCUUCUACCUGGGGAGGGUGAGAAGCCUAGAGGCUGAUAAUUGGAGACUGGAGAGCUAAAUCCGGGAACACGUGGAGAAGAAGGAACCCCUUCCCGUCAGAGAAUGGGGGCAUUACUUGAAGACCAUCGAGGACCCAAGGGCUCAGAUCUUUGCAAGUUCUGUGGACAAUGCCCACAUCAUUCUGUAAAUUGACAAUGCUCUUCUUGCUGCUGAUGACUUCAGAGUCAAGUAUGAGACAGACCUGGCCAUGCGUCAGUCUGUGGAGAAUGACAUCAAUGGGCUCCGAAAAGUCAUUGAUGACACCAAUAUCAUUCGGCUGCCGUGGGAGAUGGAGAGCGAGGCUGUCAUGGAGGAGCUGCUCUUCAUGAAGAAGAUCCAUGAGAAGGAAGUAAAUGGUCUACAAAACCAUAUUGCCAACUCUGGGUUGACCAAGGAGCUGGAUGCUCCCAAAUCUCAGGACCUCAGCAAGAUCAUGGCCGGCAUCCACGCCCUGUAUGAAGAGCUGGCUUGGAAGAACCGAGAGGAGCUAGACAAGUACUGGUCCCAGUGGACUGAGGAGAGCACCACAGUGGUCACCUCACAGACUGCUGAGGUAGAAGCUGCUGAGAUGACACUCAUAGAGCUGAGACGUACAUACCAGUUCUUGGAGAUCAACCUGGACUCGAUGAGAAAUCUGAAUGCCAGCUUGGAGAACAGCCUAAGGUAGGUAGAGACACGCUAUGCCUUGCAGAUGGAACAUCUCAACAGGAUCCUGCUACACCUGGAGUCAGAGUUGGCCCAGACUUGAAAAGAGGGGCAGUGCCACACUCAGGAUUGUGAGGCUCUGCUGAACAUCAAGGUCAAGCUACAGGCUGACAUCACCACCUACUGCCUCCUGCUGGGAGAAAGGGAAGGCUUUGAUCUUGGUGACACCCUGGACAGCAGCUCCAUGCAAUCUGUCCAAAAGACCACCACCCGCAGGAUUAUGGAUGACAAAGUGGUGUCUGAGGUCAAUGGCACCAAAGUAGUGAGGCGUUAA